GAACACGAGGAGGAAGAGAAACAAUAUCCCACAUGCUGAUGCGCUCAAGAGCAAUAAUCUCCUCUGCCAUCGCAAGGUUCCAUUUGGUAUGAAUCAAGAACACCAGCGCCAACGCUUGGAAGACCAAGGCGGUCAACAGGCGGAAGCGGACGAGGAAGCAAGCCAUAAGUAGGCCGAGAGGGGAAGUGGCACAUCAGUAGACACUUUCGCAACACGCAGACAAUGUAUAUAAAAGUGAGGAAAAGAUGGAAGAAUACGAGCAGAAAUCAUCGGGAUAAACUCAGGUGAUGGAGGCAAGGAAGACACAACCGAUGAAGGUGUAGAAUCCUGUGAUAAGCGAGGUGAGGAAAUCAUAGCAGAAGAUGGCAUUUGUUCUGCAAUUAUCGCAGAAGCAGGAGCAGUACAACCGAUGGAUAAGGGAGUGAUAGGAGUGUUGGGUUUAAACAAAAAUAGAGUUCCUCCAUUGAAAAGGUCGAGGAAGAAGGACACGUGUAGAAGGGAUGAGAUUCAUCAAGUCAUAUCCCGAGAAAUAGGCAUCCGAUGCCCAACAUGAUCCCAAUAAUGAUAUCCCUUAUGCUCAUCUUUGUAUCCUAAGAAGACACACUCAACGGACCGAGCAGUCAGUUUGGUGCGUUCACGUGGGCAAGAAGGACAUAGCAAACACAACCAAACAAUUGAAGUGCCGAAUAAUCAGGAAAUAAUCAAAUAGACGCUCGAAAGGAGUGCCACCCUGCAGAGCAAUGGAUUGCUGAACGUUGAUGUGAUAGAUGGAAGUGGAGACAGACUCGGCCCAAAAGUGCGGUGAAAGAGAGGCGGUGACCAUCAAUGGAGGAGCCGUCUCAAGAAGGUGACGAUGCUUCUGCUCAGCCACGCCAUUUUGAGCAUGAGCACCAGGAUAAGAGAACCAAAGUCUGCUCAGCAAGGAUUCCACGCAACGGCUUGGAGAUAUACUCUCCACCAGAGUCACCAUAGAACACAUGAAUAGGCGUAGAGAAUUGAGUGUGAACCAUGGCAGCAAAAGGCUUAUAGAUAUGACCUCACUACGAGAAGAAAUAAAGUAUAUAUCCAGGUGUGUUGAGAGAAGUCACUAGCGGAGGCAAAAGGAGAUGAUCCCUCGAGAUCAGAGUGAACAAGGUCUAAAGGAUGCUGUGACACUGUCUCGCUAUGAGUAUAAGGUAACUGGACCACGUAUUAGAGACAUCAUUCGAGGCGGAUCCAAGAAGAUCACGUCGAACUAAGGAUGAGAAAUCACAAGUGACCCAAGGCGAUGAUGCCACUCUUGAAAAUAUCUGGUAGACAAGGCAACAGAGGCAGAGACUGGCGGCACUGGCAACAGAGGGACUUGAUCCAGCAUCCCACUUGCAUGUGCACUCAUCGUACCUCGCCGAUCUGACUGGGUGUUCCUUUCCUGAUAGCGGGUUGUGUGCCACGUGCUUGAUUAAGCACCCCAGGUUCUCCUACUGUGCGCCCUUGGCCUCGACUUUAGGUAGCGCCUGUCUUCGGCUCGUCCCGUGCAUAAUCCAGGUACGCGUCGAUUGUCCGAGCUCCUGCUCACCAUUGGUGGCGCUCGAGCGCGCGGUUAUGGUGUCACACAAAGGGAACACGGGAUGUGGGAUUGAGACAGUGCUUGUAGCAACCCGCAGCAAGGCAAAGGAUGCCCAUCCAGACUCGUAGGGAGCGGAGGUGGUCACAAAGGUGGACGUUGACUCCAUAGGAGUCUCAACAGUGCGCUCAUCAGAAAGAGUAGCACGAGUAAGAAGAUCCCGGACAUACUUCUCUUAGAAAAUAAAGAAGUCAUUAGAGGUAGAAUAAACCUCAAUCUCAAGGAAGUACCAAAGAGGACCAAGAUCGGACAUAAGAAAUUCACUAUGACGAGCCUUCACCAAGGUAAUGUACUUAGAGUCGCCUGUGAUGAUCAACAUGUAGAAGAAGUGUUCGACCACGAGCUGAAUGGUGGAUCGGAUGUGUAGUACAAUGAGCACUCGCCAAAAACUAGCCGCAGUCACCAGUAAGACGAAGCGCUCAAACCAGGCCUGAGGGGUUUGCUUAGGGCCAUAUAGACAGCGACUAAGACGACAAACCAUGCCAUUAGGAAGAGAAUGGUGGCUACUUAUAGGCAUUCUUGACAUCAAGCUGAGAGACAGACUAGCGGCGAAUAGAGGCCACAUUGAGAAGUGUGCGAAGAGUGGUCAUGUGGGCCAUAUAUAUAGGAGUAAAUGUCUCUUCGUAGUGAUGACCAUGUUCUCACCACUAAACGAGCUUUAUAACACUCAAGAGUAUCAUCAGUCUUAACCUUGUAGACCCACUUACAAGUGAUGAGACGAGCACGAGGAGGAAGGGAAAGGAGAUUCCACGUGCCGUUGCGGGCAAGAGCAUAAAUCUUCGAUGCCAUGACAUGCAGCCAUUUGGGAUGAACAACCUCACGGCAAGAAGUCAUCUCGGGAAGGGCUGCGUAUUAACCGUAACAGUCAAUAGAAAGAAGCGGGCGAGCUCGACAGCCAGAAGUAGACUAAGCUGGAGGCGGUGCGUUGCCCAACGAAAGAAGAUAUAAUAGUCGAGGGAGAUGGCUUAUCAGAAGAAUCCACAACACGCGGAGCAUAAGUGAUCUAAAGUCGAGGAACAUGAGCAAAACAAGGAGCAUAUAAAAAGUCAAAGUGGGUCAUAACAUUCCCACCAAGUGAUGGGACGAACACGAGGAGGAAGAGAAACAAUAUCCCACAUGCUGAUGCGCUCAAGAGCAACAAUCUCCUCUGCCAUCGCAAGGUGCCAUUUGGUAUGAAUAACAUCACGAUAAGAAGUCGGCUCAAGAAGACCAGCGCCAACGCUUGGAAGACCAACACGGUCAACAUGCGGAAGCGGACGAGGAAGCAAGCCAUAAGUAGGCCGAGAGGGGAAGUGGCACAUCAAGAGACACAUUCGCAACACACGAGCGAUGUAUAUAAAAGUGAGGAAAAGAUGGAAGAAUACGAGCAGAAACCAUCGAGAUAAACUUAGGUGAUGGAGAGAAGGAAGCCACAACCGAUGAAGGUGUUGAAUCCUGUGAUAAGCGAGGUGACGAAAUCAUAGGAGAUGAUGGCAUUGGAUCUGCAAUUAUCGAAAAAGCAGGAGCAGUACAACAAAUGGAUAAGGGAGUGAUAGGAGUGUUGGGUUUAAAAAAAAUAGAUUUCCUCCAUUGAAAAGGUCGAGGAAGAUGGACGCGGGUAGAAGGGAUGAGACUCAUCGAAAUUCAUAUCCCGAGAAAUAGGCAUCCGACGCCCAACAUGAUCCCAAUAAUGAUAUCCCUUAUGCUCAUCGUUGUAUCCUAAGAAGACACACUCAACGGACUGAGCAGUCAGUUUGGUGCGUUCACGUGGGCAAGAAGGACAUAGCAAACACAACCAAACAAUUGAAGUGCCGAAUAAUCAGGAAAUAAUCAAAUAGACACUCGAAAGGAGCGCCACCCUGCAGAGCAAUGGAUUGCGGAAGGUUAAUGAGAUAGAUGGAAGUGCAAACAGACUCGGCCCAAAAGUGCGGUGAAAGAGAGGCGGUGACCAUCAAUGGAGGAGCCGUCUCAAGAAGGUGACGAUGCUUGUGCUCAGCCACGCCAUUUUGAGCAUGAGCACCAGGAUAAGAGAACCAAAGUCUGCUCAACAAGGAUUCCACGCAACAGCUUGGAGAUAUACUCUCCCCCAGAGUCACCAUAGAACACAUGAAUAGGCGUAGAGAAUUGAGUGUGAACCAUGGCCACAAAAGGCUUAUAGAUAAGACCUCACUACGAGAAGAAAUAAAGUAUAUAUCCAGGUGUGUUGAGAGAAGUCACCAGCGGAGGCAAAAUGAGAUGAUCCCUCGAGAUCAGAGUGAACAAGGUCUAAAGGAUGCUGAGACACUGUCUCGCUAUGAGUAUAAGGAAACUGGACCACGUAUUAGAGGCAUCAUUGGAGACGGAUCCAAGAAGAUCACGUCGAACUAAGGAUGAGAGAUCACAAGUGACCCAAGGCGAUGAUGCCACUCUUGAAAAUAUCUGGUAGACAAGUAACAGAGUCAGAGACUGGCGGCACUGACAGUAGAGGGACUUGAUCCAGCAUCCCACUUGCCUGUGCACUCAUCGUACCCCGCCGAUCUGAUUGGGUGUUCCUUUCCUGAUUGCGGGUUGUGUGCCACGUGCUUGAUUAAGCACCCCAGGUUCUCCUACUGUGCGCCCUUGGCCUCGACUUUAGGUAGCGCCUGUCUUCGGCUCGUCCCGUGCAUAAUCCAGGUACGCGUCGAUUGUUCGAGCUCCUGCUCACCCUUGGUGGAGCUCGAGCGUGCGGUUAUGGUGUCACACAAAGGGAACACGGGAUGUGGGAUUGAGACAGUGCUUGUAGCAACCCGCAGCAAGGCAAAGGAUGCCCAUCCAGACUCGUAGGGAGCGGAGGUGGUCACAAAGGUGGAUGUUGACUCCAUAGGAGUCUCAACAGUGCGCUCAUCAGAAAGAGUAGCACGAGUAAGAAGAUCCUGGACAUACUUCUCUUAGAAAAUAAAGAAGUCAUUAGAGGUAGAAUAAACCUCAAUCUCAAGGAAGUACCAAAGAGGACCAAGAUCGGACAUAAGAAAUUCACUAUGACGAUCCUUUACCAAGGUAAUGUUCUUACAGUCGUUGCUAGUGAUGAUCAACAUGUAGAAGAAGUGUUUGACCACGAGCUGAAUGGUGGAUCGAAAGUGUAGUAUAAUGAGCACUCGCCAAAAACUAGCCGCAAUCACCACUGAGACAAAGCGCUCAAACCAGGCCUGAGGGGUUUGCUUAGGGCCAUAUAGACAGUGAUGAAGACGACAAACCAUGCCAUUAGGAAGAGAACCUAGGUGGUGGCUACUUGUAGGCAUUCUUGACAUCAAGCUGAGAGACAGACUAGCGGCGAAUAGAAGCCAUAUUGAGAAGUGUGCGAAGAGUGGUCACGUGGGCCAUAUAUAUAGGAGUAAAUGUCUCUUCGUAGUCAUGACCAUGUUCUCACCACUAAACGAGCUUUGUAACGCUCAAGAGUAUCAUCAGUGUUAACCUUGUAGACCCACUUACAAGUGAUGAGACGAGCACGAGGAGGAAGGGAAAUGAGAUUCCACGUGCCGUUGCGGGCAAGGGCAUCAAUCUUCAAUGCCAUGACAAGCACCCAUUUGGGAUGAACAACCUCACGGCAAGAAGACGUCUCGGGAAGAGCUGCACAGUAACCAUAGCGGUCGAUAGGCAGAAGCGGGCGAGCUCAAAAGCCAUAAGUACACUAUAAGCUGGAGGCGGUGCGUUGCCAAACGAAAGAAGAUAUAAUAGUCGAGGGAGAUGGCUUAUCAGAAGAAUCCACAACACGCGGACCACGAGUGUAGUAAAGUCCAGGAACAUGAUCAAAAGGAACGUAUAAAAACUCAAAGUGAGUCAUAACAUUCCCACCAAGUGAUGGGACGAACACGAGGAGGAAGAGAAACAAUAUCCCACAUGCUGAUGCGCUCAAGAGCAACAAUCUCCUCUGCCAUCGCAAGGUGUCAUUUGGUAUGAAUAACAUCACGAUAAGAAGUCGUAUCAAGAACACCAACGCCAAUGCUUGGAAGACCAAGGCGGUCAACAGGUGGAAGCGUACGAGGAAGCAAGCCAUAAAUAGGCCGAGAGGGGAAGUGGCACAUCAAGAGGCACAUUCGCAACACGCAGACGAUGUAUAUAAAAGUGAGGAAAAGAUGGAAGAAUAUGAGCAGAACUCAUCGGGAUAAACUCAGGUGAUGGAGAGAAGGAAGCCACAACCGAUGAAGGUGUUGAAUCCUGUGAUAAGCGAGGUGACGAAAUAAUAGGAGAUGACGGCAUUGGAUCUGCAAUUAUCGGAGAAGCAGGAGCAGUACAACAAAUGGAUAAAGGAGUGAUAGGAGUGUUGGGUUAAAAAAAUAGAUUUCCUCCAUUGAGAAGGUCGAGGAAGAUGGAUGCGGUAGAAGGGAUGUGACUCAUCGAAAGUCAUAUCCCGAGAAAUAGGCAUCCGACGCCCAACAUGAUCCCAAUAAUGAUAUCCCUUAUGCUCAUCGUUGUAUUCUAAGAAGACACUCAACGGAAUGAGCAGUCAGUUUGGUGCGUUCAUGUGGGCAAGAAGGACAUAGCAAACACAACCAAACAAUUGAAGUGCUGAAUAAUCAGGAAAUAAUCAAAUAGACGCUCGAAAGGAGCGCCCCCCUGCAGAGCAAUGGAUUGCUGAAGGUUGAUGAGAUAGAUGAAAGUGCAGAUAGACUCGGCCCAAAAGUGCGGUGAAAGAGAGGCGGUGACCAUCAAUGGAGGAGCCGUCUCAAGAAGGUGACGAUGCUUCUACUCAGCCACGCCAUUUUGAGCAUGAGCACCAGGAUAAGAGAACCAAAGUCUGCUCAGCAAGGAUUCCACGCAACGGCUUGGAGAUAUACUCUCCACCAGAGUCACCAUAGAACACAUGAAUAGGCGUAGAGAAUUGAGUGUGAACCAUGGCAGCAAAAGGCUUAUAGAUAUGACCUCACUACGAGAAGAAAUAAAGUAUAUAUCCAGGUGUGUUGAGAGAAGUCACUAGCGGAGGCAAAAGGAGAUGAUCCCUCGAGAUCAUAGUGAACAAGGUCUAAAGGAUGCUGUGACACUGUCUCGCUAUGAGUAUAAGGUAACUGGACCACGUAUUAGAGACAUCAUUGGAGACGGAUCCAAGAAGAUCACGUCGAACUAAGGAUGAGAGAUCACAAGUGACCCAAGGCGAUGAUGCCACUCUUGAAAAUAUCUGGUAGACAAGGC
rnacentral:lncRNA from 1 species